UGGGGAAUCUUGGACAAUGGGCGCAAGCCUGAUCCAGCCAUGCCGCGUGGAUGAUGAAGGCCUUAGGGUUGUAAAAUCCUUUCGCCGAGGACGAUAAUGACGGUACUCGGAGAAGAAGCUCCGGCUAACUUCGUGCCAGCAGCCGCGGUAAUACGAAGGGGGCUAGCGUUGUUCGGAUUUACUGGGCGUAAAGCGCGUGUAGGCGGACUUGUAAGUUGGGGGUGAAAUCCCGAGGCUCAACCUCGGAACUGCCUCCAAAACUACAAAUCUGGACCUAAGUAGAGGCAAGUGGAAUUGCGAGUGUAGAGGUGAAAUUCGUAGAUAUUCGCAGGAACACCAGUGGCGAAGGCGACUUGCUGGACUUAUGGUGACGCUGAGACGCGAAAGCGUGGGGAGCAAACAGGAUUAGAUACCCAAGUAGUCCCUGAGCGGGCUGGCAAGGCGCAU
rnacentral:rRNA from 1 species